GAGAUACUUCCUCCGUCCAACAAAAGAUGUCUCAAGUUUGUCAAAAUUUGAAUGUAUCUAGACAUGACUCAGUGUAUAGAUGCAUUCAAAUUUAGUCAAAGUUGAGACAUCUUUUAUUGGACGGAGGGAGUAGUAA
rnacentral:pre_miRNA from 1 species